CCCAGACUCCUACGGGAGGCAGCAGUGAGGAAUAUUGGUCAAUGGGCGCGAGCCUGAACCAGCCAAGUAGCGUGAGGGAAGACUGCCCUAUGGGUUGUAAACCUCUUUUAUGCGGGGAUAAAGGUGUCCACGUGUGGAUGUUUGCAGGUACCGCAUGAAUAAGGACCGGCUAAUUCCGUGCCAGCAGCCGCGGUAAUACGGAGGAUGCGAGCGUUAUCCGGAUUUAUUGGGUUUAAAGGGUGCGUAGGCGGGCUUUUAAGUCAGCGGUAAAAAUUCGGGGCUCAACCCCGUCCGGCCGUUGAAACUGGGGGCCUUGAGUGGGCGAGAAGAAGGCGGAAUGCGUGGUGUAGCGGUGAAAUGCAUAGAUAUCACGCAGAACCCCGAUUGCGAAGGCAGCCUUCCGGCGCCCUACUGACGCUGAGGCACGAAAGUGCGGGGAUCGAACAGGAUUAGAUACCCGGGUAUGA
rnacentral:rRNA from 1 species